UUUCAAUAUUACACAUCUUACCCAGUGUGUACUAAAGAUGUAAAGUGGACUUUUUUAGACCGUGUGAUACCUGUUAAUGCAACAAGUUUUGUUUAUUAUUAUACUAAAAAAAUGCCAUACCAUUACUGAGACGCCCAAGAGAAUAACGAAUCCUACACCAAGGAAAACGUUCAACUUCGACAUAUUCCAGAAAUAUUUUUCUAAAACUGACUGACAGUUCUAGAAACUACGGUAUAUCUGAGGGGCAAUUUACACGGCAAGAAAGGAAUCACAAGCUUUCGAUAAGUUAUUCAACAAGAUGGUGGCGUCUUUUGUGGUCAAAUUUUUUAUUGUUAUAAAAUCAGAUUAGGGUAUACUGGGAGCAACAAAUGCGCAUAGUGAUCCGCGCAAUAAGCAAUAAAUGGCGUUUGUCGCAUCUCCCCUAAAUAUAAAAUUAAUUCAUCAUCAAGCUUCCAUAAAUUCAAAGCUAACGCCCAAUUCCUUCA